rnacentral:rRNA from 1 species
AUUGAACGCUGGCGGAAUGCUUUACACAUGCAAGUCGAACGGCAGCACGGACUUCGGUCUGGUGGCGAGUGGCGAACGGGUGAGUAAUGUAUCGGAACGUGCCCAGUCGUGGGGGAUAACGUAGUGAAAAUUACGCUAAUACCGCAUACGAUCUAUGGAUGAAAGCGGGGGAUCGCAAGACCUCGCGCGAUUGGAGCGGCCGAUAUCAGAUUAGGUAGUUGGUGGGGUAAAGGCCCACCAAGCCAACGAUCUGUAGCUGGUCUGAUAGGACGACCAGCCACACUGGAACUGAGACACGGUCCAGACUCCUACGGGAGGCAGCAGUGGGGAAUUUUGGACAAUGGGCGAAAGCCUGAUCCAGCCAUUCCGCGUGCAGGAUGAAGGCCCUCGGGUUGUAAACUGCUUUUGUACAGAACGAAAAGGUUUCUACUAAUACUAGGAGCUCAUGACGGUACUGUAAGAAUAAGCACCGGCUAACUACGUGCCAGCCGCCGCGGUAA